AUGGCUGUCGUCAGCUCGUGUCGUGAGAUGUUGGGUUAAGUCCCGCAACGAGCGCAACCCUACUCUUAUGUUGCCAGCACGUUAUGGUGGGGACUCGUAAGAGACUGCCGGGGUCGAACUCGGAGGAAGGUGGGGACGACGUCAAGUCAUCAUGCCCCUUAUGUCCAGGGCUUCACACAUGCUACAAUGGCCAGUACAGAGGGCUGCGAGACCGUGAGGUGGAGCGAAUCCCUUAAAGCUGGUCUCAGUUCGGAUCGGGGUCUGCAACUCGACCCCGUGAAGUCGGAGUCGCUAGUAAUCGCAGAUCAGCAACGCUGCGGUGAAUACGUUCCCGGGCCUU
rnacentral:rRNA from 1 species